ensembl:lncRNA IL12A-AS1 IL12A antisense RNA 1
GCCCAGGCUGUCCCUACCCGCGGCUACAAAAGCUCGCCGAGUCUUCCUGUCCACCCAAUCGCCCCACAUGUCAGCGGUUGGUCGCCUCGCGGUGCAGUGCUGGGCACGCGAGCCCCUCCCGCAGUCAUUCUCAGCACAAGCACCAGCCUGGAGCCCCGCAGCGACAGAGCUGAGAGCCCCCAAGCCGCAGAGGUCGUGCGGAGCAGGCCUAAGGCAAUAGCUAAUUGAGACUAUGCAUCACUAUUAAGGCAUCUUCACUAAAGGGCGCUGUGGAAACGCUGCCUGAGAUGCAGACACCUGUCAGAAGGGGGCUAAAUUUCAAACAAGGAACGUGGUGUUGCAUCACAAUAAAAACAGAAGAAACACACGUGUUCUUGUGUGUAAACCCAGUCCAUGGAAGAGACCGUCUGCUUGUCCCUCCUGAUCUCUGGGCCCAGACAACCAGUAGUCACCAUUCCAAGUGAGGGGUGGCUGCAACUCUACAGCCCCGUUCGUCUCUCCUCACUGUCAAAGCUGCUGAGACCCCAGACUCGACACUUGAAAGAAACCCAUGUCUGUGAAGCACUUGUGGACCAUUCAAGAUUGUGGAAGAAUCACUCAAGAGAAGGAGAUAGCAAUAUUUGCAGAUAUGCAAACUGGCCCCUUGCAUGCACAUCCUGGAGCACGUCCUGGAGCCUUUAGAGGAGACGGCUGCUGCUGUUCCAGUCUCUCCUUAGGCAGACUUGAGUUUCUACCCACUCUUCCCAAGCAGCCGCCCCUCCGCACCCGAGCGAGCCAAAGACCUGGCGGGCUGAGUACUCACUGCGCGCUGGACACAUGCUGAGCCGGCACUGCAGGGACACAGGGCGAGCCGCUGGAUGCAGACCUGUGGCCGCGGCAGUUGGGCUUAUCUUGCCCAUGAAGUUGCCUCUGAAGAACCAAGUCCAACUGUGUAUGCUGAGAGAUGUCUGGCUACUUCCUGAUUGACAGUUCUGGCAAGGUGGCAUUGGGCCCUGGCUUUUCCUCUGGAGGCAUCAUCACUUAUAGGAAAAUGUCCCCUGAAGUCCAAGGAUCAAAGCUGCUGGAACACUGAGAAGCUGAACAAAGGAGAACUGUUUCUCAUCAAACCCAGACUUCCAGACUUCCAAUAGGGUAGAAUGAGCAAGUCAGCAAAUCAUCUUCCUUGGAAACAGUGAUAAAACUAGAUGACAUUGUCAACAACAGCCAUUUCAGAAAUCUAGAAAAUGACCAAAGGCAAACAACAAACUGAGAAGCAUUUUUUUUUCCAUGAAAAAUCGCUCUAUUUCUGCAAAAAUAGUGGGAGUCUAUGGCUUCUCAUCCAGGGCUGUUUCUCUCCCCACCCCAGCUCAGUCAGUACAAAGGUUCUGGCAGCAUGAGGCAGACUGAACAGACCUGAAGUUUGAUUGCUGGAAGAAACUGACUCCAGGUUUGGCAGAGGGUGAGAAACCUACUCCCAGCCAUGUUGUCUGGUGACACAGUGACCUUAGGGACAAGUGAAUAGGGAAGGCCAGUGAUUCAUUAACCUGAGGUUGCAGUCCUGGUUGGGGAAAGCAUCAGAAUGGCAGAUAAGCUAGAAAUUUAGUAGGGAUAUGCUGGAAAUGAGACAACCCCAAAGGGGCUUGACCCCAAAGUUGUCCACACACCCCAGCUGCCUUCUGAGCAGAUGUAGGGAGAGACCAGAGAAGGCCUAGGCUAUCCACACAUCUCUGGCUAACCCAGGCUGUAAACCUGUGGAGGAGACACAAGAGGUGGAUUGAUUGCUAAUGGGCAUAUGGGGGAUCUUACUGGUUGAUAGGAACAUUCUCAAAUUGGAUUGUGGUGAUGCUUGCACAACUCUAAGUUUAUCCCAAAUUGCUAAAUUUUACACUAAAAAGGGGUGAACUUUAGGGUAUAUAAAUUAUACAUCAAUAAAGUUGUCAUAAAGCAUUCACAU